GGGAAUUAGAGGAGCAGCACUUUGAAGGACUCCGUGAUUAGAGAAAGUAGUCGUGUGCACAUCUACAAAACCUCAGUGGGAAAUCUUGGAACGGCGUGUCCUUUUUCUACGAUGACCACCUGACACAGCCCGAAGACAUCCAGCUGUACACAGACUCUGCUCCCUCCAUCGGUUUUGGUGGUUACUACGGCGGCAGAUGGUUCGCCUCCGAGUGGCCGCCGGAAAUGCCCUCUCUCUCUCCCUCUUCAGCCCUCUACGAGCUGUACCCCAUCAUCAUCGCAGCACUUCUUUGGGGGCAUGUGUGGUCAUCUAAGGUCAUCCUCAUCCACUCAGACAACCUCCCCACCAUUAACAUCAUAAACAAAGGCCGCUCUCAUUCUCUGGAUAUCAUGAAAUUCAUACGCAGACUGACCCUCAUCUCUGCCCAACAUCAAUUUAUCAUCCGCGCCGCCCACAUUCUCGGCUACAAAAACACCAUCGCUGACUCCCUUUCUCGUUUCUCUUUUCAGAAAUUCAAAGCCUUGGCACCCAAUUCGGACCUUCAUCCAACACCAGUCCCUCCGUUUUCAACCACAAUCUUUCCAUAAACCAUCAGCUUCGCCAUCUGGUCAAUAUGUCACAACAAGUAAUCCUAAAUAGCCUAGCCCCCAGUACUCUCUCAACAUACUACUCAGGAUGGAGCUGCUUCAAAACUUGCCAUACCGCACAUAGGCUACCAUUUCCAUCCAUCGACGUCGUAAGCCUAACCAGCUUCAUUACUUACUUCCAUUCUGUUCUCAAAAUCAGAGCAUCCACCAUCCAAACAUACCUGAGCGGUAUAAACUUUUUCGUUAAACUAGCUCCAGCCCCUUCAAUUUCCCACAACCACGUCAACAUGUUAAUAAAAGGCUUAAAAAAGGCAGAACCUCCAUUAGCACCAAAACAUCUGCCCCUGACCGCAGACCUCCUCACCCGAUGCAUCCAAACCCUUUGCGCAGGUUAUUUAUCCCCAUCCAUCGACUCAACCCUCAAAGCUAUGUUCCUCCUUGCCUUUUUUGGUUUUCUACGCUGCUCUGAAUUCACCAACUCCACGUCCUAUUACGACCCUUUGCAGCAUGCCAGCCUCUCUGACAUUUCCAUCCACUCAACAAACAUCCUCAGAUUCAACCUCAAACGAAGCAAAACCGACCAGCUCGGUUUUUCUCACCCCAUCAAGACCCACUCUUCAUCACAGAAUAAGGCCGAGUCGCCACACGCUUCUGGUUUCACUACCACCUCCGUCAAGUCCUCUCAAAGUCAGGCAUUUCACCCGAUCUAUACUCCGGUCACUCCUUCCGCGCGGGAGCCGCUUCAACCGCAUCCAGUCAAGGAAUCCCGGACCAUACCAUAAAAAUCCUCGGCCACUGGUCUUCUCAAGCAUACCAGAGUUACAUCCAUAGCCACCUCCACGAUAUCCACAGAGCCCAUUCACACUUAGUCUAGUGAAGCACUUUUGGGGAUGAUGAAGCAAAAAAUUGCUCAUCGAGACGUGCCUGGGUUCCUAGACACUCCAGCCUCGUCUAAAGUCCAACCAGUCACUAUCCAUCCAAUUCGACUCCUUCACGACGACGACCCACAUCUGGCGUCCAUCACUUCCCCUCGACCCUAACAUCCAUCGCCCCUCAUCUUAUUCCUUCCCGAAUCAUCUUGCUGAUCAAAUAAACUAUUUAACUAUACACAAAUGGCGUGGUCUAAAUUAGUGAAAUGAAGUUAUUAUAAUAGCUAAGUUCAGGAACAAGACCAUGCCCCGCUUCUUCUCACCAAUUCACAACACAUGCGCCUCGUUAACCCAAAUCACCUGUGCCUCCCGGCCACAUACCUGCGCGCAUAUAUAAGCACGCCUAGCCUCCACCUCUCCUGUUCAUCUCAGUUCUCUCAAACCCCACCCCCCCAAAACCCCAUUCUCCCCUCUCCUCUCAGCGGGCAACACGGUGGCUCAGUAGUUAGCACUGUAGCCUCACAGCAAGAAGGUCUUGGGUUAUGAACUCAAGCCGUCCCGGGGCCUUUCUGUGGAACCACCGGGGGAUGAUGAAGCAAAAAAUUGCUCAUUGAGACGUGCCCCCACCCUGAGUCUCCACCCCCGGGUUCCUAGACGCUCCAGCCUCGACUCAACUCCAACCGGUCACUAUCCAUCCAAUUCGACUCCUUCACGACAGCGACCCACAUCUGGCGUCCAUCGCUUCCCCUCAACCCUAACAUCCAUCGCCCCUCAUCUUAUUCCUUCCCGAAUCAUCUUGCUGAUCAUAUAAACUAUUUAACUAUACACAAAUGGCGUCGUCUAAAUUAGUUAAAUUUCCCUGCAAGAAAACAUUCAGCUGGAGCUUCAGUCACUUGUGGGAACAGCGAUAACUGUGGAUGAUUUAAAGAAGUCUGUGGGUUUACUGCAGUGGACAAAGUUGUGAAAGACUACUGUGAACACAGGCUGGAGAGGGUUGAUGAGGAGCUGCACGUUUCCCUUCCCUAAAUUAUCAUGCUUCACCAGCCACCCCACAGAUUCAACACAAUGGACCUCACUGCAAGCUGGGAAACACUCUCCGGGUCUGUGAAGGUUCAUUUCUUGAACCACAUGUCAAAUACAUAAUGACAAAAAAAAAACAACAAAAAAAACUGUAACACUCAUUUUACUUCAAGAAAGGUUUUUGUUCUCUUACUAAUAUGUAAAUUGUGGUUGUUCACAAUUUACAUAUUAGUAAACAAGGAGAGAAGUUCCUGCUCCUCCUUUUACUGGAUGAAUCGACUUUAUCAGAAAGUUCAUUACAGGAUGAUUCAAUUUAGAUUAUUACGGUUUUGAUCAGUUCUUACAAACAGGUGUAUCAAUAAUGCAUGGACACAAUAAACAUCAAUACGCAUUUGCAACAUCAUGCACAAGGCGGAGUAAUAGCUUCAGAGAAUAGAUCAGUAUUGUUAACAGCACAAACAAUGGCCUCCUGUUUCUAAUACAUAAAUACUGAGAUUUUAUGUCAGCUCCUCUCCACGAUUAACAUUUUGAGUAUAGGGCCAAAUUUAACUAGUUUUAAUUUGACUGACAUCCCAACAUGGUUUCCUGUCUCCAGACGUGAAAGAUGGACAAGAACAGUCUCUGUGAAGCAUGUCUUUGUUUGCAGUAUGUGGACUGAAAUUACGGAGUAAAAUGUUGUAUCACAGUUCUCAACGCAUGCAAUGUUAUGAGGCUAUAACACAGUGAAGUAAUAAUCUUGCCUCACCGGUUUCAGUGUUUUUGGGUUGAGUGGGCCUCCAUACUCACAUGAAGAUCACAUUAGCCCUCCGUUAAGUGAAAUUGCUCAGGGAUCUGAAGUCAGUGAUAAAUACAGAGCGAUACAUACUGAGUGAUCAUAUACUGUAAAGAGUGUAUGAGAGUAAAGCUGCUAGUCUAAGAGUGUAAUGUUACAUGUAAUAUUACACAAAACAGGGUGAUUUCACAGUGAAUAAUGGCAUCUCCAUUUCCAAACACAUUGACCUAUGACCUGUGACUCUGCUGGCGAAUGCUUGAGCUUCCACCUAAUCAGUAAGUGCAGUGCUAAAUUUCUCAGUUGCAUGGUCUUACAUUGAAGUGAAUGACAGACAGAGCAAAUAUUUACAAAGAUUGGUGGUAGUAUGAUAGCAACUGUUUCACUCUGCCAGCUCCAGAAACAAAGUUUCCUGCUCAGGUCAGGUGUGUGAUGGAGCUUCAGUUCCUGUGUGAUUUGACUUUAUCCAGCCUGUGCUCUCAUGCUACAUACCUGGACCUGCAGGCCCAGCGGCACAGACCAGAGCUGACAGCCUGGAGCUAAAGUGGGUCAUUAUGAAAAAUAGUCCUCACCAUAAUAUACAGUAUCUUAAUUAAAACCAGUAUCAGUAUCCAGAUACUGUUUGACACUCCUGGGAGAGCCUCUGUUUCUGUGAGUAAGUCUGGACCACUGUGCUACACAGCACUGGCAGCAGGUAGCAUAAAUCAGUUAGCAGAUGAAGCUAAGCCAUAUAAAAUUAACCCAUAAACAGAAGAUGUUCUUUUCUGUUUGUUUGUCCAUUUAGUGCUGUUGUACAUAUGCGCACAGGGCUGAUUUAUGGAGAAGAUUAAAUCAUAAAUGAGGCUUCUAAUCAUCUUCUUGUGUCAUCAACUGAGAAAUUGUUUAAGAGAAUGAUUCCCCAGCAGGCUCUAUAAAUCACAUCCAAAUCAUAGUUAUUAUCUAAAAUAUUUGUUUGCUCCAGUGAAGAGAAGACCUUAGAAAUCAUGGGGAUAUAACAGCUGAGGAAAGUCUAUCACAUUCUGUCCAUUUGUGUGCACACACACAUCCACACACAUGCACUUCUUCAUCCCACACUCAAUUUCUUCAGAUGUGGGAGGUGCAGAAUACACAGCAAUGGAUGAUGUACAAUGUUUAUGCUUUAACACAGAUAAAAGGCCAAACAUGGCAACAAUUGUUCACAGAUGUUCAACAUAAAAUCUCAGUAAAGAAGAAUCACUGUGAUGACCCCUGAUACAGAUCAUCCAAAAGCUGCAAGGAAGACCCAGAGCCCUCGAUUACAAGGAAAUGCGUGGAUUUGAUCCUCAGCAAUCAGUCCAUUCUAUUUGUAAAUUUCAUGAUUUUUAAUAUCAUUCUAUGAUAUGACAUGAACGAGGCAUUAGACAUGGCGGUGCUUUGAGCUAAAUGCUAGCAUGCUUGAAAUGUCAAGGCUAACAUGGUGAUAUUUAGCAGGUAUCAUGUUUACAAUGUUCACCAGCUUCAUUUAGCGUGUUAGCAUGCUAACAUUUCCAAAUUAGCACCAAACACAAAGCUGAGGCUGAUGGGAAUUGUCACUGGUUUUGCAGGUAUUCAGUCAUAAAUCAAAUUAUUGGACAAAUUAAAUUUUGACCAGAUGGUGGCGCUAGAAGAAAAGUCUGGGGAUCAUCAAAGUGAUAACAGUU